UACAGAGGUCCCGAGCGUUGUUCGGAUUCAUUGGGCGUAAAGGGUGCGUAGGCGGCGGGGUAAGUCGGGUGUGAAAUCUCAGGGCUUAACCCUGAAACUGCACUCGAUACUGCUCUGCUUGAGGACUGGAGAGGAGACUGGAAUUCACGGUGUAGCAGUGAAAUGCGUAGAUAUCGUGAGGAAGACCAGUGGCGAAGGCGGGUCUCUGGACAGUUCCUGACGCUGAGGCGCGAAGGCCAGGGGAGCAAACGGG
rnacentral:rRNA from 1 species